UCCUGGCUGAGACAAAGUUGAUUCUUCAGAUGUGAAUGCACAAGAGAUGCACAAAACUUCAUUGUGUUUUCUCUAUUUAUAGAACUUGAAUCAGUGCAACACUGAAACCAAACCAAAACAUUUCGUACAGAACAAAGUGCCUUAAAAUUGCCUGCCUACACACUGACACAAAACCUUUCAAACUCUUAUUUCACAUAAUCCCCUGACGUAUAGACGGACCCUCUCCGGGGAACAGGUGGGUCUAUAUCUACACAGGCAGCUCAUCCUCAGCUUGCAAUCAUUCCCUGUAGGAGAAACAGAGAUUGUGAGAAUUUGUCCAGACGUGAAGAUGUUGGCAGUUGUGGUUGUGUUAUUCCUGGCAGCCGGCGUGAGCGACAGCGUGAUUUUGAGUAAAUGCGAGCUGAAGCAGCAGCUUGAAAGUGUCAUUACUCUGCCAAUUCCCAAUUCUGCAGACAUGCUGGCACAGAUCGUGUGUCACGUCCAGCUGACCUCUGGCUUCAAUACCAGUGCCAUUAAGACGAUCCCUGAGCCACAAGAGCGCAAUGGUGGUCACGGUUCUCGCCGUGGUAGGUCCCCCAGAGGAAAAAAUUCAGGCGACUCCUCCAGUUUGGAAAGUGACGAGGACAAAAGUGAGGUCUGGACUCUGUACGGCUUGUUCCAGCUUAGUGACCACGUGGUGUGCCGCUCUAUUCAAAGUCGUACACUGAACCUCUGUAGGCUGACCUGCGACAAGCUGAUUGACGAUGACACCAGUGAUGACAUCGCCUGUGUCCAGGCCCUUAUAAAUGCAGUAACUGCGCCGAUUCCUGACCGCAAAACUGCUAGACACAUCCGUGAAAUGAUCUCGCUGAUCCACCAGCCACAGUGCAUCGCCGUGAACGCCACUUCAUACUUCGCCGACUGUUAAACACCCUGAAUUCAAGACCUCUUGAUUUGAGUCCUGACCUCUUGUAGCUCCUUCUGUGCAUUUAUAUUCGUAGCUUUCUUGCAAGACAACAAAAUCCCAGCACAAGUAGCUUGUGUUUUGUAUACGAGUCAUUAAAACCAUUUUAAAAG
rnacentral:lncRNA from 1 species